rnacentral:rRNA from 1 species
GUGGGGGAUAACUCUGGGAAACUGGAGCUAAUACCGCAUGAUACCUGAGGGUCAAAGGCGUAAGUCGCCUGUGGAGGAGCCUGCGUUUGAUUAGCUUGUUGGUGGGGUAAUGGCCUACCAAGGCGAUGAUCAAUAGCUGGUCUGAGGGGGGGGAUCAGCCACACUGGGACUGAGACACGGCCCAGACUCCUACGGGAGGCAGCAGUGGGGAAUAUUGGACAAUGGGGGCAACCCUGAUCCAGCAAUGCCGCGUGUGUGAAGAAGGGUUUCGGAUUGGAAAGCACUUUUCGACGGGGGACGAUGAUGACGGUACCCCG